CACGUAGGGCGCGAGCGUUGUCCGGAAUUAUUGGGCGUAAAGAGCGUGUAGGCGGCCAUGUAGGUCCGUUGUGAAAACUCGAGGCUCAACCUCGAGACGCCGAUGGAAACCAUAUGGCUAGAGUCCGGAAGAGGAGAGUGGAAUUCCUGGUGUAGCGGUGAAAUGCGCAGAUAUCAGGAAGAACACCCGUGGCUAAGGCGGCUCUCUAGUACGGUACUGACGCUGAGACGCGAAAGCGUGGGGAGCGAACAGG
rnacentral:rRNA from 1 species